rnacentral:misc_RNA from 1 species
AUGACACCUCCAUCCCCAGUCAAAUCAACAGCAUCAUCCAUGGCUCAUAAAUCCUUCAAAGCCCGGUUCAAUGAGAGAGGAAAGAACUCGAGACGAAAAGGGGAAAUCAGGGACGAUAUACCGGAAAAAUUGCGUUUGAUACCGGUGGCCAUAGGCGUCUUGGUGAGCUCUUUUGUCUGGAAAGAGCAAAGCCGGCAUUUUGUACAUGCGAUAGGGCGUGGCAAGUGGGCUGUUGAACUGGACUGUAACUUUGGAUCCUUUGGGCUCUGG